CACACGUCCGCGAUUUAUUUUCAUGGUAUCAAGCAAAUCAUUCAGUAACACGCAUUCCAUCAGCCGGAUGCUCGCACGCAUUAUCUACGCUAGGAAGAAAACUACGAUAGCACUCUCAUCCUGUAAUCUAUCGAUCUAUCUCAGAAUGUUUCAUCGUUUCGGCCAAUCGAAAACGAGGGAAAUCCUUAAAAGAGGGAAACGCGACGCCUCAGCAACAAAAAAAAAAAAUCGUCGGGGACAAAAUCGUGACGACCUCGAACGUCCACGCGACUCUAAUCGCAUAAAUCCAGUUAACAUCGAGGAAUCUCAUCCCUUUGGAAUUUCGCUUCUUUCGUCCACGCGCCCGCCCCUUCCAAGCCUGUCACCGCCAAUUCCCAUAGGGUGCAGCGUAGAAAUGCCCUCCAGAAAUCAUCCUAGUCGCUUAAUUGAAUCGCUGACUUUGAUGAAUAUCGGCUCCGACCGUCGCGCGAGGGGCACUUUAUUUUCUCCCUGCCUGUUUCCCCUCCCCUCCCCCCGUGUCCCAGGCCAACGGAAUCCCGCACCUUGUCGUCGAUGCCGACUUCUUGCAUGCUCGUUCGCUCGUGUAAUUACGAGGCCGCCGCUCGUGGACCGCGAAACGUGGAUCGGGAUCGAACCGAGUUGUCCUGGCAGUUUUGCCUAAAUGAAGGGGGAGUUCGAUAGACAGAGGGAUUAUGGCGGAGGAAAAUGUGCAUGGUAACCCCGCUGAGAAAGUUUUGAAAGGAUGGUCUUAAAUUUCAUAAAAUUUUUGGGCUCGAAGAAGACAUUUUUCCACGAAUGGAAUUCUUUGGCCAGCGAUAUUUUCGAAGAGGAUGAAUUUGAUCGGCAAACGAGAAGAUUAUCAAAAAUGGGCUACGAUUCCAUUGUUCGUGCGAUUCAAUGAGCCGUCCUCGAGAGCUUCUUCCUCGUCUUAUUCGUGGAACAAUUCGUUUGGGAUAAAUUAACUUACGAAAUGCCGUUCUAAAAAUGAAUCGAAUUCCGAACGAAAGAGAGCUCGAAGAAAUACGCGUGGCGAAUAAUGGGAUUCUGCUCUGGCAAGACAUUGAAUGAAAAAAAGGGGAGGGGGAAAGAAAGGAAGAGAGAAAGAGAGAGAGAGAGAAGGGAGAAGGAGGAACGCCUUAAGGUAUUUUCACCGCCGUUGUAAUAGCAUUGUAAGCUCAAAGCUUCUUGGCUAUCUUGUUUGAGAUCUCCGUGAAGAUGGACAACGAUUUUCAACGGCGCAAGCAUUAUCUCGAUUCGUAAAACAUGGGACCUGUCUGCUUAUUUUCCAGGGUAACUCCAAUAUUUGCGGAAGCUGAGUGUAAAAGGGUUGGGACGAUCCAUUGCUAGGAAGGAAAACGCGUUACACCAAAGAAUGGCGAUGUUUUCGAAUGAAGAAAGGGAAAGAGAGAUAAAAAUCGUGUACGAGUGACUAUCCUCGUCGUUGGCGAGUUGAUUAAUAUUCGUCGUUAAACUGCCCUCCUCGUAAAAUUACUUUCCGACGUUGAACAAGCGCGUAAUUGCGUAUGCUGUAUAACGACGAACUUUCGUUUUAUUUUUUAUCCUCUGUCUCUUACACCUUUGUCUCUUUCUUCUUUCCUCUUCCUCGCGAGAGGAAAAAGGUUUCUUUAAUUGUUGAACUGCGCUAAAAGAGAAAUGCGGAAUUUUUAUCUCGCAGUAUUCUCGUUUUAAAUAGAAGAAUAUGUAAUAACUUGGGAAUGAAUUUGAAGGAUUACUUCUGCAGAGUUUGUUAUAAAGUUUGUUAUUACGUAGUUUUCAUCGAAAAGAUAAUUACGUUGAAUAAUAUUCAUAAGAUGAUAUAAAACGUGUAUUCACGUUAUAAAAUAUAAUAUAAAAAUUAUUGUCUAUCAAUAAUUUCCUUGUUAAAAGGAUUUGUAAAUUUCCGAGGGAUCUCAAAUAAAAGAUAAAAUGAUUUAUAUCAUUGGGAAGAAAAAAUAAAUUUUUUAUUUUAUGAGAUAAUAAAAAUUUAAUCAAUGUUCCUAAAUUAUCUUUCUUAAUAAAUCAAAUUUUAAAUAAAUUGUAGAAUUUGAAAUAAACGUAUAGAAAAUUCUAAUAACUUUUAACUUAUAAACCAAUGUCAAUAAAUUAAUAUCCAAUCUUUAAGAAUCUUUAAGAAUUUACUUUGCAUUUAAUGAUAGAUAAGCAUUUAUUUUGAUUCUUAUUAUUUUGAAACAUUCUAAAAAAUUUUUUUUGUUCUUUCUUAUCCUACAGACCGUAAAAGUUAAAACCAAUAAACUUGUCUGACGUUAGACAUGAAUGAAAGUCUCAGGUAUUAGGUGCAUGAAUAAAUAUUGGGUGUUUGAAAUGAUGUAAAGAGAUAGAGUAAGUAUGUACAUAGGAUAUGUGGUAUAGAAUACAUAUUGACUUAGAGCAAACAAGAGCAUGAUGUGAGAGUGUUCCUUUCAAAAAAUGUAAUCUACAUAAUCUAUCAAUCUAAGGAUUACACUUGAAUUAACUAGUUACGGACUGAGAACCGACCUGGUGAAAAACAUAGGAAGAACAAAGAAUAAUGAAAAGAGAGUAAAUGACUAAAUAACUAAUAAAGAAACGUAAAUUAUUAUCAAUAAUUAAUUGGAAAACUUCUUUCAACAAAGAAAAUCACUUUGCAUGAACUUCAUAUCGGGUUAAUAAGUUUAAAUUCGUACAAAAUGAAGUUCUGUAUGGAAAAAAAAAUUUUGUUUGCAAGAUAUUGUCAUCACCCGAAGAGAUAAGAGCACCGAUAAAUUUUUAUUCAUAUUCCGUUUCUACAAAUCUGUUUUCCCUAGCUCUGAACCAAUCCAAAUCACGCACAUAAAGAUCUUCGAUUCGGCGACAUCGAGGAAGAUUUCAUGGCGAGGUUCGAGAUGGAAAAAAAAAAGGAAAGGAUGUCGAAAGUCAAACACGUAAAAUUUUGUUGCUCAAGAUGUUGCAAUUCAUCGUCGCACGGUGAUCUCAUCCGCGGCGGAUUGCAGUCGCAUUCAGAGAAGUUUAUCUCCAUUUCGCGAAGCAAAACGCGUGCCGUGUCCUUUUCUCCCCCCCUCUCUUUCUCUACUAUUCACACGAGGUUCACACCCUCUCUGUCCGUUCCGCGUUUUGUCGUCAACGGGCACAGAGAGUGAACAAGAAGAAAGGGCAUUCAUUUCGUCCCUUUUGACGGCGAUGAGACGCAAACACGGCCGUAUCUUUUUCUCUCGUUCUCUUUUUUUCCCUUACUCUUCCGCAGAUAUCUAUCCUUUCUCUAUUUCCAUGACUUUGAAUCUCAGCAGUAGAUAACUAACGUGUGGACCCACGCGGCUUCCUUCUUACCAACGUCUUCGCCUUUCGGCUCGCGCGCAAGCGGAUGUGUUUCGAAAUUUUUAAGUAUUUAAGGGGAUGAUAGAGAUAGUCUCUCUUUCUUAACGUCUCUCCGGGAACGAGUAAAUUAUUUUUUAUUUAAGAUUUAUUCCGUAGACAGAGAUCAUUAUUAUUCGUGAUGUUUUGGAAAAAUUGAGAUCACAAUUAUUCGCGUUAGGCAAAAAAAAAUUUCUUCUUUUAAAUAGUAUAAUUUUGAAGAAUCUUUAAGGCAAUUAUACUUUUAAAUUAAGUUUUUAAGUUCGGUCUCUUGAUUCAACUGUUUUUUUUUUUUAUUAAGUAAAAGAAAUAUGUUCGAUUCGGGAUCAUUGAAUAAAUUGUAGGAUUAUACAAAAAAUUUUAAAUGCAAUUAAUACAAACGUAAUCUCAAUUUCAAUUUUAAAUUUUCCCAAAAUGGAAUUUGUUUGAACAAAUUGAAAAAAAAAUGAACGAGUAAAAUAUUCACGUCUCCAUCUUCCAUUAAUAUUUUCUUUUCUCACUAAUAAUAUUUAUUUCUUGACACAAAAUAUUUAAAAAUAGUAAAUAGUAGAUUGUAAAUUUUAAAAUAUAUUCAAUUAAGUUAAAAUAUAUUCGAUUAAACUUUAUUUUCAAUUUCUUAAUUUCUCCUCUUCAAAUAUAAAAUACGAUUGUAUAAAUAAAAACUUCAAGAUACUUCAAAAAUAUAAGAGGAUUGAUCUCCUUCACAUAAAUUGAUUACUUUCUUCGUUUCAUCAAUGCUUGAAUAGAAGUAUUUCGGAACAGAAAUAACCGUCUGCAAAGGGAGAAAAGUUAGAGAAGCACUUUAACAAAAAGUUUAACAUGUGGACAUCUCUUUCCACCGAUUGAAAUUGAAAUUGAAAUCAUAUACCGUUCAAAGAUCCCGCGAAUCUUCUUAUAUCACUUUUUAUCGGACUUUCGCUCAAAUAUUUUAUCUAUAAUGAGACAAUUCUCUCGAUUCUCUCGAGCGAGUCCCGUUUUUUAAGAAUUUCAUAGUAUAGAAAAAAAGAUAUUUCAAUUAUUCGUAGAAGAAUAAAAUUAUAAAAUAAUUUCUUCAAAACUUAUCUUAACCUAGAAAUUAUUUCUUAACAAAGUUAGAAAAAAAAUAUUGAAACUUCAAAAAUUAAAAA